GGCGGCGUGCCUAACACAUGCAAGUCGAACGAGAAAGUGGAGCAAUCCAUGAGUAGAGUGGCGUACGGGUGAGUAACACGUGACUAACCUUCCUUCGAGUGGGGAAUAACCUCGGGAAACCAGGGCUAAUACCGCAUAACAUCACCGGGUGAAACUCCCGAUGAUCAAAGGGGUAAGACGCUUGAAGAGGGGGUCGCGGCUGAUUAGUUAGUUGGCGGGGUAAUGGCCCACCAAGACGAUGAUCAGUAGCCGGCCUGAGAGGGCGCACGGCCACACUGGGACUGAAACACGGCCCAGACUCCUACGGGAGGCAGCAGUGGGGAAUUUUGCGCAAUGGGGGAAACCCUGACGCAGCAACGCCGCGUGGAGGAUUAAGUCCCUUGGGAUGUAAACUCCUUUCGACGGGGAAGAAACUGACGGUACCCGUAGAAGAAGCCCCGGCUAACUUCGUGCCAGCAGCCGCGGUAAUACGAAGGGGGCAAGCGU
rnacentral:rRNA from 1 species